rnacentral:rRNA from 1 species
UACGUAGGGUGCGAACGUUGUCCGGAAUUAUUGGGCGUAAAGAGCUCGUAGGCGGCCUGUCGCGUCGGAUGUGAAAUCCCCAGGCUUAACCUGGGAACUGCAUCCGAUACUGGAUGGCUUGAAUCCGGGAGAGGGAUGCAGAAUUCCAGGUGUAGCGGUGAAAUGCGUAGAUAUCUGGAGGAAUACCGGUGGCGAAGGCGGCAUCCUGGACCGGCAUUGACGCUGAGGAGCGAAAGCUAGGGGAGCAAACGGGG